CCUACGGGAGGCAGCAGUGAGGAAUAUUGGUCAAUGGACGAGAGUCUGAACCAGCCAAGUCGCGUGAAGGAUGACUGCCCUCUGGGUUGUAAACUUCUUUUAUAAAGGCAUAAAACGAGACACGUGUGCCUUUUUGCAUGUACUUUAUGAAUAAGGCUCGGCGCACUCCGUGCCAGCAGCCGCGGUAAUACGGAGGAUCCGAGCGUUAUCCGGAUUUCGUGGGUUUAAAGGGAGCGUAGAUGGGUUGUUAAGUCAGUUGUGAAAGUGUGGGGCUCAACCGUAAAAUUGCACUUGAGACUGGCAGUCUUGAGUACAGUUGAGGUAGGCGGAAUUCGUGGUGUAGCGGUGAAAUGCUUAGAUAUCACGAAGAACCCCGAUUGCGAAGGCAGCUUACUAAACUGUGACUGACACUGAUGCUCGAAAGUGUGGGGAUCAAACAGGAUUAGAUACCCUUGUAGUC
rnacentral:rRNA from 1 species